GAGUCUCAAAGUUAACCAGCUGAUUCAUAUUCCACCAUGCUCUUCUCCCACGCCUUCAUCCACUUCCCAAACCCUAUUUUUGUUUCUUUCCCUUUGAUUUCAAAACUCGCUUGGUUAGGGAUUUGUGUGUGCUUGUGAUAGCUAGGGAGUGAGCGAUAGGGGGAAACGACACUCGUGGUGGCUGCAUACGACAGAGGAACAUCAAAUUACGCCAGAAUUUGCUCUAGAUGAACAAAUCGACAUCAUCAAAGCACAACUAUGCCACCUUCUCGAGGUUAGUGAGCCAGAAAAGUGGGAUAAAGUUUGUCUUCUUCUUCUUCAGAACACAACAAAUGUGAGUUUACCUUUUGGGGGUUUUUAUUUUCGUGGUUCUAGAUAUAUUGUUGUUCUUAGGAAUCAACAUCAUCUCUAACAAGUUUUCUUUAUAGGUUUCGCUAAAUGUCAACACUCAAUCAGAUACUACCUGUUGGGUUGAGAACAUGCAUUUUUUAGUUCAGGCCGUGUUACGGUGUUAGAUAGUUUGCCAUAAAAUAAUGUUAAAUAACAUUUUUAUGAUGUUUUUUGUCACACCCUCAAAUUCCACAUGCGGGGUUUUACCACGAGGCAUGUGACUGACCAGGAUCUAGCCACUAAUCAUAUUGAACCAAUUAUUAAAGUUAUAAAGUUAUCACAAUCAACACGAUUAGUGAUCAAAGUUUAAAAGUCUAAAACAUAGUUUAAGUUAACAGCGGAAGCAAGAUUAAAAUCCAGACACAACUCAAAACCAUAAGUUCAUAUCAAUAUUAAAAUGUAAGGUUAAUAACCCAUGACACUCCAACCAUUGCAAGCCUUCGUCCAGCUGUACCUAACGACCUUCAAAGCAUGCAAUAGUGUGUCAACAUAAAGUUGGCGAAUUCACAAUUUCAUUUAAGCAUAGAGCGUAAAUGUAAGUUCACAGGCAAAGCAUUACAAGUAUGACUCGGGUAGCUAACCUUCAUCAAGGUAACUAAACCGUGUGUACCGAAUGUUGACGUUAUAGUCUUUAUGCCAUCACCAAUGUCUAUCCACAUUGAUGAAUUAAAAAGGUCAAUAGUUCACGUCCGGCUCCCAGCACGAUGUGAGGUUUGUCAAAUCUAGUAGCACUAUCAACUAAUACCCCACCUGCCAACCCGACAUACUAAUCGGUAAAAUAUGUAGGGACUUCCAGAUAUAGUUUACGUUUAGUUUAAUGUACUAUUCCCAUGUCCAGGGAUAGUAGAGUACGUGUGAUCCCAAUGUAGGGAUGCGCGUGUAGCCCCAAACUAGGGGCACUGCAUGUGUUUCCCAAACUAGGGACGCAUGCUUUGAAAAAGAGUUGUUAACUCACCUUAGUUUGCUCGGCUAGAAAAUAUGUGAAUAGUAGCAGAAGUGGUCAACCUCGUCCUGAUAUGGUUACCGUUUUAGUUAGUUUGGGCUCACGUAUUCCUCCACGUAUACUAACACAUAACCAUGCAACACGUUGAUACUUAAUUAAUCAGUUGAGUGAUCAUGAGUAGGUCUACACCUCAUGUCAUGUAUUAUGUCUACCUAGGUUUCAAAUCAUGCAUUGACACUUCAUACCAACUAUCACAAACAAUCACCUACACAAACAUUAAGUUUCAACUUACAUAGUUGCAUAUCAGUUUUUGAGCAGUUUUCCGGAAUUUAUUUAAAAUACCAACAUAUUCGAAAAAUUAUGUUAUUUUCAUGAGACAUGUCAUUUAUUCCACUAUGACUUGUGAAAUUUUCUCAUGACCAAAUUAUUCAUAGAAAAAUCAUUAAAAAUCAUUUAUCACACAUAGGUCUAAUUCGUCACAUUUGGGCGACAGU
rnacentral:lncRNA from 1 species